rnacentral:ncRNA from 1 species
UACAAAGAUAAAAACACGAACUGGCCGGUAGUCCAGUUGCAGGAAACUGUCAGUAACCUUCCUCCUUAGGUCGUCCAUUCUUUGUUCAU